AAUCUCUGUGGGAAAAUAGCAAAUAACUAUUAGAAGAUAAAUAGUAAAAAAAAGUGCAUUACAACACAACAGUAGUCAGUGUUAUUCUUAUUUAAAAACUUGAGAUGUUUAAUCUAAGUUUCUCAGGGGUCAAUGCAUCCUGAGCAGUUUCAUAGAUUUGGUAGAGAUACUGCUUAGAUUUCCCUCAAAAUUCCUCAAAACAAGCAUGGGCAAACUUUGGCCCUACAGGUGUUUUGGACUUCAACUCUCACAAUUCCUAACAGCCUAUUGGAUGGUAGGAAUUGUGGAAGUUGAAAUCCAAAACACCUGGAGGGCCAAAGGUUGCCCAUUCCUGCCCUAAAAUAUUUGGUCUGAAAUGGAACCAUUAUUGUCAGAAGAAUUAUUCUAAAGAUGAGAUUUCUGUGACAACUGUGUCUAGUUAAUUUUGUGUGCAGUUAAUUCACAAAAGGCCUUAAAGACAUUACUUUGUGGGAGGGAGCAAGCUGUUCUGAUUUCCUCUCUUCCACUCUACUUAUGUCCUCUGAAAAUCUGCUCUAGAGCAUUGAUGGACUUCUGGAACAGUGUGGGAGGUGGUACUGGUGGGCUCCAGAUGGUGAAAGCAAUUGUAAAAAUUUCCUGCCUCUCUUUUAUAGCGGCAACAACAUUUUCUGUGGCAUUUGGCUCCAGAACAAUUCCAUCAGCUAAACAGAUCUCUGUAUAUAGUUCAAUAGUAUGAGAUAUUUCUGGUAAUACAUUGUGCAAAGCCGUUAUUCCACUUUUUUAUUCUAUUUCCCCACCUUAUUGGAAACUCACACAUUUUUUUUCAAGAAAUAGUUGUAGGAAUGCAUCAAAGGAGAUUGAGACCUAUAAGCAGCCUAUAAGAUUCUGAAGAUCUUGAGAGCAGGUGCUUCCCAGAUGCUAACUUGCAGGUAAACACAGUUGAAGACUCUUGAGUGAUGGCCACCAAAACUCUAUUUGAAGACCUCUGAAGAAGCAGACUCACCAUCCACACAGCCUAUUCCAUUGUGUAACAGUUCUUACUAUUAAAAAGAUUUCUGUAAUGUUUA